CCUUAUCUGUCUCCGAUUCACACCCUUUCCGAAAGCGCCGCCGAAAGCAGCAAACUGUCGACGGUGAAAAUGCAUAGUGGCGGCUAGUUAGUAACGGUGCUGGCGACUCGAGACGAGCCGACUCCUAUCUUUAGAGAAUCAGAGUCACCUCAUUAUCGGGCGUCGCGACCGUCAGAUCGAACUUCUCGGCGCCGCUACUUCCUUGGUUGUUUUUAACGAUCCGAACG
rnacentral:lncRNA from 1 species